AUGUUUAUUUAUAAAGUCUGGCCUGCCCACUGAAAUUUAAAGGGCCGCGGUAUUUUGACCGUGCAAAGGUAGCAUAAUCAUUAGUCUUUUAAUUGGAGGCUUGUAUGAAUGGUCGGACAAGAAACAGACUGUCUUCAAUUGAAUUUAUUGAAUUUAACUUUUAAGUAAAAAGGCUUAAAUAAAUUAAAAUGACGAUAAGACCCUAUAAAACUUGAUAAUUAAAACUAUAAAAAUAAUUUAGCUAUUUAAAAUUUAUUUAGUGGAUUUUAUUUUAUUGGGGCGAUAAAAAUAAAAUAAGUAACUGUUUUUAAUAUUUUAAUGAUAGUUGUCAUUUUAAAAGUGAUCCUGUAUUAUAGAUUAUAAGAUUAAGUUACUUUAGGGAUAACAGCGUAAUUUUCUUUAAGAGUUCUUAUCUACAAGAAAGAUUGCGACCUCGAUGUUGAAUUAAAAGUUCUUUAAGGUGUAGCAGCUUUAAUAGAAGUCUGUUCACCU
rnacentral:rRNA from 1 species